CCUACGGGAGGCAGCAGUGGGGAAUAUUGCACAAUGGGGGAAACCCUGAUGCAGCGACGCCGCGUGAGUGAUGAAGUAUUUCGGUAUGUAAAGCUCUAUCAGCAGGGAAGAUAAUGACGGUACCUGACUAAGAAGCUCCGGCUAACUACGUGCCAGCAGCCGCGGUAAUACGUAGGGAGCAAGCGUUAUCCGGAUUUACUGGGUGUAAAGGGAGCGCAGACGGCAGGGCAAGUCUGAUGUGAAAGCCCGGGGCUCAACCACGGGACUGCAUUGGAAACUGUCCGGCUGGAGUGCAGGAGAGGUAAGUGGAAUUCCUAGUGUAGCGGUGAAAUGCGUAGAUAUUAGGAGGAACACCAGUGGCGAAGGCGGCUUACUGGACUGUAACUGACGUUGAGGCUCGAAGGCGUGGGGAGCAAACAGGAUUAGAUACCCGAGUAGUC
rnacentral:rRNA from 1 species